rnacentral:rRNA from 1 species
UACGAAGGGUGCUAGCGUUGCUCGGAAUCACUGGGCGUAAAGCGCACGUAGGCGGCUUUUUAAGUCAGGGGUGAAAUCCUGGAGCUCAACUCCAGAACUGCCUUUGAUACUGAGAAGCUUGAGUCCGGGAGAGGUGAGUGGAACUGCGAGUGUAGAGGUGAAAUUCGUAGAUAUUCGCAAGAACACCAGUGGCGAAGGCGGCUCACUGGCCCGGUACUGACGCUGAGGCGCGAAAGCGUGGGGAGCAAACAGG